rnacentral:lncRNA from 1 species
AAAAUACCCUUCAUAAUUAUGCUGGAAAAGAUGUAAAAAAGAUUUUUGAGGGGUAAUAUGGUGUUUAACUAUGUUAAUGCCUGCAUUAAAACCCCCUGCAUUACUAAUACAAAAAUAUUUCAUGUAUUAAUCACACACACAUCAAUACACACUAGAGUAAAAUAUUAGUUAUACAUACAUAUAUCAUAAUAUAUCAGAAAUGGGAGAUGGAAGAUGGCUCGAGAGGGAUUUGUAGUUAUUAAUCAAUCUAAUGUGUGUAUUAAAAUAAGGGAAAGGUUCAAAUAUGUCAUCGAACUUUGGAAAAAGGCUGAUCUAUGUCAUCCGUUAAAAAUUUGGCUCACUAUGUCAUUUCCAUUUAAGAAAAGGCUCACCCAUGCCAUUAUUUGUUAAUAGAAAACAAUUUGAUUAUGCAAAUUCAUUUUUUACAUGUGAUCAAUUAUGAUUCGGCCAUGUCAUUAAUUAAAUUAUUUUCUUUAAAAAAAAGGCUCAAAUACGCUAUCAAACUUUGAGAAAAGGUUCAUCUAUGUCAUAUGUUAAAAGUUUGGCUCAUCAUUUCCAUUUGAGAAAAGACGCAUCCAUACUAUUAUUUGUUAAUAGAAAAUGAUUUCGAUUUUGCAAAUUCAUUUUUUACAUGUGGUCAACUAUGAUUUUGGCCACAUCAUUAUUUAUUUAUUUUUUAAAAGAAAAAAAGACCAAAUAUGUCAUCGAACUUUGAAAAAAGGCUCAUUUAUGUCAUUCGUUAAAAAUUUAGCUCGUCUAUGCCAUUUCAAUUAACAAAUAUAGCAUGGACAAACCUUUUCUCAAACAUAAAUAAUAUAGAUGACUCAAAUUUUUAUCGGACUACAUAAAUGACCCUUUUAUCUCAAAAUUUAAUACUAGCAUAUUUGAGCCUUCUCCUAAUACAAUGCAUUAUUAUAUUAUAUUAUAGACUAAAAAAGUGUAGGAAGGUACUAAUAUUACAAGUUCACAACCCAGUCUUACCUGUUAAUUGAUGGAAAAAAGAAGGUGGUAAGUUACCUUAACACUGUUACUCUGUCCCAAUUUAUGUGAUUUACUUUCCUUUUUAGUCAGUCCCAAAAAGAAUGACACAUUUCUAUAUUAAGUAACAAUUUGACUAUAAAAUGUCUAUUUUAUUCUUAAUGAAAUGAUUUACAGCCACACAAAUUUCUAUCUUUCAUUUUGGACCACAAAUUUUUAAAAUCUUCCUUUCUUUUUUAAACUCCGUGCCAAAUCAAAGUACCUCACAUAAAAUGGGACGGAUGGAGUAAGAUUUUUUAAGGGUAAGUGCACUUCACCUAAGUUUUUCAUCUCCGGCAAACAAAAUUUCCCCUUGUUUGUUCAAGAACCCGAUCGUGAUAUCGUUGUUUUCCCCCAAAAUUAUCAAACUCUAAUUUAUAGUUAGUGCAAUCAGAGUAAGAAAAGGAUCUGCGGAAAGGAAUUUUGUUGAAGAAACCGUUGAAUUCCAGCAAUGGAGAUCUUAUAAACCUUUGAGUUCCAUUGUGCAUUGAUGAAGAAGAUCGGUUAAUGACAAAACUUUCAAGUUCUAUUUAUGGGCAAAUGAUAGCAGGGAUUGAAACAAAACAAGUUUUAAGGUACUCUCCAGGUAUCGGCCGUUCAUUAUUGUUCCCAAAUUACUAGUAAUUAAAAUUGAUAAAACUUAAUUAGUAUAUUUUGUCCCUUUCCUCUGGAUUAUACCUAAUAUAAUUGUUUUACUAUGUUGACAAAUUAACUAGGGAAACAAAUAAAAAUGAUACUUAUUUGGGUUUCGAAAAAUUCAUAAUUUCUUUAUCAAUUUUAAAUUUCAGUAGCUGAGAUGUCUUCAAAUUGGGUAGCAGCUCAAGUAACUCGGUAAGCAGUUUUUCUCUGUGGAUGUAGUUCAUACAUGUCUAUCUAAUUGCCUUUGGAAAUUAUAAUCUGAAUUGAGUUUAUCUAAUCUGAUUGCAACUGUAUUUUAUGUUGUAUUUGUUUCGUCCUUGUUAGUCCCAUUUAUUUCUGGGAUUAUGGUGAUUGAGAUUGAGAUUAUGGUGAAUAUUGGUCCAUCUCGGUUGGACUCACCUACUUAGCUUAGGUUUUACCUCAGUGCCAGAUUGAAUGACUUGCUGCAGUUUGGAGAUUGUAUUAAAAGUUAUAAGUAUGUGAAUAGAGGAAAAUGUUAUUAAGUAGUAAUAUUGUAGCGCAGUUUGAUCUUCUGUAGAUAGAAACUCUGAUUUUAGGGCAAGCAAUAUAGCAAUUGCAAUGCCCCCCAAAAGAAAGAACAAGUGUUUGAGUCACAGGGAGUCUCAAUAAACCUUUCGGAAGAAAGAAAAUCCAAUUUGCUUUUAUUUUCCCCCUGUAUGCCCUCCUUAUGUGCUGUUGCGUUAUAUCUUUUAUAUUUUGUCCAUUUAUUCAUCUCUUUGUUUUCUGAAUGUUCUGAAGUGAGACAGAAAAAAAUGACUUAGACUCUUAAGUUCAAAUGAGAACCGAUAUGUAGUGGUUUUGUGUUAGAGCAUUAUUGAUCUAAACAAAGCAAUUAAAAUAUCACCAUGUGUCAUGUGGCAUGCUGGAUAUGUGUAAUUGCCAAUCCUGUUUUUUUUUAAAGUCAGUGUUGUAAAAAGCUUUUAAGAGAAGCCAGGCGUGGGUCUUGCGCUUCAGAUGGCUCCUUCUCUUCUGCAAUAUCCCUACUGCUUGCAACUUCUUUUUUCUUCUUUCUCUUCUUCUCUUCUCUGUUUCGAUAUCUUUUUUUUUCUCGCCUAUCUCCAUUGAAAGUUUAGCACCACAUCUUGUUACACAAUUGACUAGUAAGUUCUCUUCCUUUUCUUAAUUAAUGUCUUUAGUUACGGUAAUAUUAAAGACCUUUAAAUCCAUAAACUAAUCAUACCUGAAACACACUCCUAAGUAAGGAUGAAUUCCUGGUCACUAGCUCCAUUCAUUCCAUAAUUUCAAAGGAACUAAUGAUCCUCAUUGUUAUUAACUUAUUAUUCUGUGAGUUGCUUGGUGGUUUUUUAGUGGAAAUGACUUAAUUCUAGAGGCAGUUUCCAUGCACUAACAUCUCUGUUUUGGCAAUUGUUGGGACAGGUAUAAUUCUUAUUCAGAGUGACACUUUGGACCUUCUUAGAUAUCGUGAUGCUGGAAGAUAAAGGUUGGGAAGAUCCUCGUUCCGUUAAUAGCCCUAGGAGGAUCUUGAGUUUUUCCAAGAAUAGGAAGGCCACUGUGUUCUUUCCAGACCCAGACGACAGAGAUUCAGGUUUUGGUGUUUCUGGAGAUCAGGGACCCAAGACUUUUGAAGUUUACGGAUUUGUUGGCUCCAUUACUACUGUUGUUGCUACAGGUCUACCCAUCCUCAUCUUUAAGAAGCUUAGUCUGUUAUUUAGAACAUAUCCCUAUGUUUGAAUAUUCAAUGUUUUCUUCUGAUAUCAUAGUUUGGAAUACAGUUGAAUUGUUAGUAUUAUAAUGUGAUGUGAUUUUCUUCCUUGGUAAUGCUCAUCAUGACAUGAAAGUUACUUAUUCUUAUCUUUUGGUUAGACUCCUUGGCCUUCCUGGAAAUGCUUGUGCCCAGGCAUCACCAGUAUCUGGAUAUAGGGCAGAGUAUGCUAAUUGAUUUUUCUUGGGAGUUGAAAUGACAAGGCUGUUGAAAUCUCUGGAUAUAUUACUCUGCAAAUAUUGAAAACAGAUGCAAAUACUAAUUUUUGAUUUGUCUGCAAGAUGUCGUCUGUUGUAAAGUAUUGAGCUCUCAUAUUUUGUAUGUAUAAUUGCUUUGCUUUAACCUUUCCACUGGUAUUCCAGCGGUCACAACAUUCAUUUGAUUUCAUGCAUACGAAAGUCUGAUUGGUUUCUAUUAUUUUCAAUGAGGAGUUCUUUUUCUGGUGUGGGCAUAUCUUCCUGAACAUUGGUUGCACUCUUUGGGAAUUGUUUACUAUCCAAGCAGGUAAAGAAGAUGUACUUGCAGGCUUGUGUCAUCUUUACAUCUUGUCUCUAAAAAGAUCCCUUUUUAAAUUAGGAGAUAAUAUGAAUUUCAUAGUUUCAAAUUUACUUAGCUGGUUUGUCUGAGACACCAGAGCAAGAAGCUGGUUAGUGUAUUCCAGCUACCUAAGCUGGGCUUAGUUUAUUCCAAUUUUUGGAUCUAUAAUGGCAUUUGGUUGUUCUGAACAAACAUCUUGAAAAGAGGAGGCACAAAUUUUUAAUUGAUAAGCCCUUUAGUUGCAUUUCAGAAAUUGAUAUAUAUUGGUCCUACAUUUCAGAAAUUACAAGUGCAUGAAAGCAACUUAAAGCAUUUGCAGAAUGCUCAAGAUGAAAAACUGCUAGUAUGGGCAUCUGGCUAGUAAAAUGGGUUCGGAGUACCUUGCAGAACUGCUGUCAAAGGUAUACUUAUAGUUCUUUUCAUGUAAGGAGUUCCUAACUAAGUUGAGCAGAGUUCAUAUUCAGAUUGUUUCCAUUUCAGCACUUGGAACAAUUUAUUAAGGCAAGAAUACCAAGUAUCACAUCACUUAUCAAUAAAAGCAUAGAUGAACUUGAAUCGGAACUGGACCACCUUGGAAGGCCUAUUGCUGUUGAUGCAGGCGUAAGCUUCGACUUCUAUAUCUAUCGUUGCUACUGUUGAUCGAGAGAUUUUCCUUUAUCUUAGUAACUGAACUGGUCUAUUUCAGGCUCAACUGUAUACUAUUUUGGAACUUUGCCGUGCUUUUGAUAAGAUAUUUAAGGAGCAUCUAGAUGGAGGGUAAGUGGAUUGUUUUCUUUUUUCCCUUAAUUUUCCAAAUCUAACUUUCAUUAUCGUAAGCACUUCAAAAAAUCCAAAGGAACCAUAGUGGAAAACCAUAAAGCACAAAGGAACUUGAAAUACAAGGGAGGGAUUUGGCAUAGGCUGAAAAGAGACCACCAAAUGUGACUAGUACCCAUAAAACACAAAGAAUUUGAAGAAACUUCACUCAUGAGAACUUGUAAAAAAAAAAAAAAAGAUGUACCCAUUAAACUCAAGGAAUUGGCAAACAUUUCAGUAGACAUGUGACACUCGUCUACCUUGUCUGUAAAUGCUUGUACUGAUUUAAGAUGAACUUCCAGUUUAUUGCUCUGCACCUAGACUAUAUAUAACAUGAAUUUAUCUCUUUUUGUUAAUCAGUCGACCUGGUGGUGAUCGAAUUUAUGGAGUGUUUGACAACCAACUACCUGCUGCUUUGAGAAAACUCCCGUUUGACCGAUAUCUCUCUGUGCAAAAUGUGAGGAAUGUUGUUUCAGAGGCAGAUGGUUACCAGCCUCACUUGAUAGCACCUGAGCAAGGUUAUAGACGUCUAAUUGAAGGGGCCUUAAAUUAUUUUAGAGGCCCAGCUGAAGCCUCUGUUGAUGCUGUAAGUAAGGGGGGAAAGCCAGAAGCUUCUGCUGCCGUAGACCGGUAUGGAGAGGGUCACUUUCGUCGGAUAGGUUCAAAUGUAUCAUCAUAUGUAAAUAUGGUGUCUGAUACAUUGAGGAACACACUCCCCAAAGCAGUGGUUUAUUGUCAAGUUAAGGAGGCCAAACAAUCUUUGUUGAACUACUUCUACACUCAGAUUGGGAAGAAAGAGGUACUAUCUCAGUGUUCAUCCCGAAUUAGCAGUUUUUUUUAUAGUACAAGUGCUGACGGUUGUUUAUAUUUCUCAGGGCAAGGCACUUUCAGAAUUGUUAGAUGAAGAUCCUGCAUUGAUGGAGAGAAGAAUGCAAUGUGCCAAGAGGCUUGAACUGUACAAGAAAGCAAGAGAUGAGAUUGAUUCUGUAGCGUGGGUACGAUGAUUGCACUUUAAGAGACACCUUUCUUCUACGAUACAACAAAUUCACGACUUGGAUGAAUCAAUAUCGCUGCUUGUUCGAACAUUUUAACAGCCUAAAUUCUUUGAUUGUUGUAGUCAUAUUAUUUGGUUUGGAUGAAUUGUUGCUUUAUUAUGUAUUUGUGAACUGAGUUAAUACCACAUUCAGUUGUCCUUUUGCUCAGGCUGCUGCUCCAUUUUUGUACUUGUACCUUUUACUGCUUAUGGACUUGGAUAAAGAAAUGAUGUAGAAAUAUGGCGUCUUUAAACAGUAAACUUCUUCUAAAACCAAUGAGCAAAGAAAAACACUCAAAUACCAGAACCAUUAUGAACUUGUCAAUUUGAUCUUUUUCCCUAACAGUAAUAUACCCUUGCUAACCAGUAUAUUAGUUUUUCUGUACUACACAGAGGAAAGCAAAUGGACGAUUGUGAAAAAAGCCACAUCUAAAUUACAUUUAAUGUCAAGUACCUGAAUUGGGUGAAUCAAAGAGAUACACUGAUAAAUGAAGGAAAUGAAACUGAUACAAUCUAUCCAAGCAAAAUAACUGCACAGUAAAAUUAUUUCUUAUCUUGGAUUGAACAUAAGGUCAUUUAUUUGAUCAAUCCGAAUAUCAGAUAUAGGCUCUAUAGGUUGCUCAUCAUUGUCUGUUGAAGGCACGUUGCGCAAAGGUUCUCUUGUGAAUUCAUCUGCAGAAUAGAUAGAAAGAAAACAUUACGAGCUCAAUCCCAUGAUUAUGUAAAAACAACUACUAAAAAUUAAAUUUGGGUAUUGCAUGCUUCAAGAGUCAAGACAGAAACGCUAGGAAAAUCCUUUCUACUGUCAUUGCCAGAAAGUCAAGUAACAAUUACCAUAUAUCAUGCUGAAAGAAGUUGGAGGAGGGGUAGCCAAGAAGUUGAGACCAAUGUAAAAUCCUACAGCUAGUGAUAUAGUCAUCAUCGCAUAAGCUGGCGCAGCUAAUGCCCAGUACCUGAUAAAACCAAGAACAAUUUAACAAGAUGUUAAAUAUAUCAUGUGACAAUUAGUAAGUGACCAGCUAAGUUCUGCCAAGAAUUUUUUUUUCAUCUUGAGCAUUCUGCAAAUGCUUUAAGUUGCUUUCAUGCACUUGUAAUUUCUGAAAUGUAGGACCAAUAUAUAUCAAUUUCUGAAAUGCAACUAAAGGGCUUAUCAAUUAAAAAUUUGAGCCUCCUCUUUUCAAGAUGUUUGUUCAAAACAACCAAAUGCCAUUAUAGAUCCAGAAAUUGGAAUAAAAUAAGCCCAACUUAGGUAGCUGGAAUACACUAACCAGCUUCUGGUGUCUCAGACAAACCAGCUAAGUAAAUUUGAAACUAUGAAAUUCAUAUUAUCUCCUAAUUUAAAAAGGGAUCUUUUUAGAGACAAGAUAUAAAGAUGACACAAGCCUGCAAGUACAUCUUCUUUACCUGCUUGGAUAGUAAACAAUUCCCAAAGAGUGCAACCAAUGUUCGGGGAGAUAUGCCCACACCAGAAAAAGAACUGCUCAUUGAAAAUAAUAGAAACCAAUCAGACUUCCGUAUGCAUGAAAUCAAAUGAAUGUUGUGACCACUGGAAUACCAGUGGAAUUAGGUUAAAGCAAAGCAGCUAUACAUACAAAAUAUGAGAGCUCAAUACUUUACAACAGACGACAUCUUGCAGACAAAUCAAAAAUUAGUAUUUGCAUCUGUUUUCAAUAUUUGCAGAGUAAUAUAUCCAGAGAUUUCAACAGCCUUGUCAUUUCAACUCCCAAGAAAAAUCAAUUAGCAUACUCUGCCCGCCCUUCAUAAUUAUGCUGGAAAAGAUGUAAAAAAGAUUUUUGAGGGGUAAUAUGGUCUUUAACUAUGUUAAUGCCUGCAUUAAAACCCCCUACAUUACUAAUACAAAAAAAAUUCAUGUAUUAAUCACACACACAUCAAUACACACUAGAGUAAAAUAUUAGUUAUACAUACACAUAUCAUAAUAUAUCAGAAAUGGGAGAUGGAAGAUGGCUAGGAAGGCCAAGGAGUCUAACCAAAAGAUAAGAAUAAGUAACUUUCAUGUCAUGAUGAUCAUUACCAAGGAAGAAAAUCACAUCACAUUAUAAUACUAACAAUUCAACUGUAUUCCAAACUAUGAUAUCAGAAGAAAACAUUGAAUAUUCAAACAUAGAGAUAUGUUCUAAAUAACAGACUAAGCUUCUUAAAGAUGAGGAUGGGUAGACCUGUAGCAACAACAGUAGUAAUGGAGCCAACAAAUCCGUAAACUUCAGAAGUCUUGGGUCCCUGAUCUCCAGAAACACCAAAGCCUGAAUCUCUGUCGUCUGGGUCUGGAAAGAACACAGUGGCCUUCCUAUUCUUGGAAAAACUCAAGAUCCUCCUAGGGCUAUUAACGGAACGAGGAUCUUCCCAACCUUUAUCUUCCAGCAUCACGAUAUCUAAGAAGGUCCAAAGUGUCACUCUGAAUAAGAAUUAUACCUGUCCCAACAAUUGCCAAAACAGAGAUGUUAGUGCAUGGAAACUGCCUCUAGAAUUAAGUCAUUUCCAGAAAAAAACCAUUUGAGAAAAGACCCAUCCAUACUAUUAUUUGUUAAUAGAAAACGAUUCCGAUUUUGCAAAUUCAUUUUUUACAUGUGGUCAAUUAUGAUUUCGGCCACAUCAUUAUUUAUUUAUUUUUUAAAAAGAAAAAAAGCCCAAAUAUGUCAUCGAACUUUGAAAAAAGACUCAUUUAUGCCAUUCGUUAAAAAUUUGGCUCGUCUAUGCCAUUUCAAUUAACAAAUAUGGCAUGGAUAAACCUUUUCUCAAACAUAAAUAAUAUAGAUGACUCAAAUUUUUAUCGGACUACAUAAAUGAUCCCCUUUUAUCUCAAAAUUUAAUACUAGCAUGUUUGAGCCUUCUCUUAAUACAAUGCAUUAUUAUAUUAUAUUAUAGACUAAAAAAAGUGUAGGAAGGUACUAAUAUUACAAGUUCACAACCCAGUCCUUACCUGUUAAUUGAUGGAAAAAAGAAAAAGGUGGUAAGUUACCUUAACACUGUUACUCUGUCCCAAUUUAUGUGAUUUACUUUUCUUUUUAGUCAGUCCCAAAAAGAAUGACACAUUUCUAUAUUAAGUAACAAUUUGACUAUAAAAUGUCUAUUUUACCCUUAAUGAAAUGAUUUACAGCCACACAAAUUUCUAUCUUUCAUUUUGGACCACAAAAUUUUAAAAUCUUCCUUUCUUUUUUAAAUUCCGUGCCAAAUCAAAGUACCUCACAUAAAAUGGGACGGAUGGAGUAAGAUUUUUUAAGGGUAAGUGCACUUCACCUAAGUUUUUCAUCUCCGGCAAACAAAAUUUCCCCUUGUUUGUUCAAGAACCCGAUCGUGAUAUCGUUGUUUUCCCCCAAAAUUAUCAAACUGUAAUUUAUAGUUAGUGCAAUCAAAGUAAGAAAAGGAUCUGCGGAAAGGAAUUUUGUUGAAGAAACCGUUGAAUUCUUGCAAUGGAGAUCUUAUAAACCUUUGAGUUCCAUUGUGCAUUGAUGAAGAAGAUCGGUUAAUGACAAAACUUUCAAGUUCUAUUUAUGGGCAAAUGAUAGCAGGGAUUGAAACAAAACAAUUUUUAAGGUACUCUCCAGGUAUCGGCCGUUCAUUAUUGUUCCCAAAUUACUAGUAACUAAAAUUGAUAAAACUUAAUUAGUAUAUUUUGUCUCUUUCCUCUGGAUUAUACCUAAUAUAAUUGUUUUACUAUGUUGACAAAUUAACUAGCGCAGUUUGAUCUUCUUUAGAUAGAAACUCUGAUUUUUAGGGCAAGCAAUAUAGCAAUUGCAAUGCCCCCUAAAAGAAAGAACAAGUGUUUGAGUCACAGGGAGUCUCAAUAAACCUUUCAGAAGAAAGAAAAAAAUAAAAUCCAAUUUGCUUUUCUUUUCCCCCUGUAUGCCCUCCUUAUGUACUGCUGCGUUAUAUCUUUUAUAUUUUGUCCAUUUAUUCAUCUCUUUGUUUUCUGAAUGUUCUGAAGUGAGACAAAAAAAAAUGACUUAGACUCUUACGUUCAAAUGAGAACCGAUAUGUAGUGGUUUUGUGUUAGAGCAUUGUUGAUCUAAACAAAGCAAUUAAAAUAUCACCAUGUGUCAUGUGGCAUUCUGGAUAUGUGUAAUUGCCAAUCUUGUUUUUUAUUAAAGUCAGUGUUGUAAAAAGCCUCGCUUUAAGCUUUGAAGAGAAGCCAGGCGUGGGUCUUGCGCUUCAGAUGGCUCCUUCUCUUCUGCAAUAUCCCUACUGCUUGCAACUUCUUUUUUCUUCUUUCUCUUCUUCUCUUCUCUGUUUCGAUAUUUUAUUUUUUUUCUCGCCUAUCUCCAUUGAAAGUUUAGCACCACAUCUUGUUACACAAUUGACUAGUAAGUUCUCUUCCUUUUCUUAAUUAAUGUCUUUAGUUACGGUAAUAUUAAAGACCUUUAAAUCCAUAAACUAAUCAUACCUGAAACAUACUCCUAAGUAAGGAUGAAUUCCUGGUCACUAGCUCCAUUCAUUCCAUAAUUUCAAAGGAACUAAUGAUCCUCAUUGUUAUUAACUUAUUAUUCUGUGAGUUGCUUGGUGGUUUUUUUUCUGGAAAUGACUUAAUUCUAGAGGCAGUUUCCAUGCACUAACAUCUCUGUUUUGGAAAUUGUUGGGACAGGUAUAAUUCUUAUUCAGAGUGACAGUAAUGGA